rnacentral:rRNA from 1 species
UACGUAGGGGGCAAGCGUUGUCCGGAAUCAUUGGGCGUAAAGCGCGUGUAGGCGGCCCGAUAAGUCCGCUGUGAAAGUCCAGGGCUCAACCCUGGAAUGCCGGUGGAUACUGUCGGGCUCGAGUCCGGAAGAGGCGAGUGGAAUUCCUGGUGUAGCGGUGAAAUGCGCAGAUAUCAGGAGGAACACCGAUGGCAAAGGCAGCUCGCUGGGACGGUACUGACGCUGAGACGCGAAAGCGUGGGGAGCAAACAGG